AGUGAACGCUGGCGGUAGGCCUAACACAUGCAAGUCGAACGGCAGCACAGUAAGAGCUUGCUCUUACGGGUGGCGAGUAGCGGACGGGUGAGGAAUACAUCGGAAUCUACUUUUUCGUGGGGAUAACGUAGGGAAACUUACGCUAAUACCGCAUACGACCUACGGGUGAAAGCAGGGGAUCUUCGGACCUUGCGCGAUUGAAUGAGACGAUGUCGGAUUAGCUAGUUGGCGGGGUAAAGGCCCACCAAGGCGACGAUCCGUAGCUGGUCUGAGAGGAUGAUCAGCCACACUGGAACUGAGACACGGUCCAGACUCCUACGGGAGGCAGCAUUGGGGAAUAUUGGACAAUGGGCGCAAGCCUGAUCCAGCCAUACCGCGUGGGUGAAGAAGGCCUUCGGGUUGUAAAGCCCUUUUGUUGGGAAAGAAAAGCAGCAGGUUAAUACCCCGCUGUUCUGACGGUACCCAAAGAGUAAGCACCGGCUAACUUCGUG
rnacentral:rRNA from 1 species